CAGAAAGAGAGAGAAGAGAGUACUGACCCACACUCCUCCAUUUGCCACAGCCAAGAGAUCUGUCCAUCAAGCCAAGCAUCCACCCAUCCAUCCGUGAGACUGGACCUGGGAAACCCUGCACAUAGAAGCACAAACAGACCCACUAACCCUGCAGACCCAGGUAUGCCCUGGGGGCCGACUAAUCCCUGAAAUUGAAGUACAUCAUCACCACUGAUGUCCAGGCUCACCCUGCAUUAGAAGACAGAAACACUGAGUACCAAACAACAUGGCAUAGCCUCCACCACCUAUCAGACGCAUGGUCUUGCAGUCUUACCUUAGGACCAGGCAUCCCGUGCAGCCCC